GGGUAGGGGAGCGUUCUGUAAGCCGUUGAAGGUGGCCUGUGAGGGUUGCUGGAGGUAUCAGAAGUGCGAAUGCUGACAUAAGUAACGAUAAUGCGGGUGAAAAACCCGCACGCCGGAAGACCAAGGGUUCCUGUCCAACGUUAAUCGGGGCAGGGUGAGUCGACCCCUAAGGCGAGGCCGAAAGGCGUAGUCGAUGGGAAACAGGUUAAUAUUCCUGUACUUGGUGUUACUGCGAAGGGGGGACGGAGAAGGCUAUGUUAGCCGGGCGACGGUUGUCCCGGUUUAAGCAUGUAGGCGGAGGUUCCAGGUAAAUCCGGUACCUUUUUAACGCUGAGGUGUGAUGACGAGGCACUACGGUGCUGAAGUAACAAAUGCCCUGCUUCCAGGAAAAGCCUCUAAGCAUCAGGUAACACGAAAUCGUACCCCAAACCGACACAGGUGGUCAGGUAGAGAAUACCAAGGCGCUUGAGAGAACUCGGGUGAAGGAACUAGGCAAAAUGGUGCCGUAACUUCGGGAGAAGGCACGCUGAUAUGUAGGUGAAGCGGUUUACCCGUGGAGCUGAAAUCAGUCGAAGAUACCAGCUGGCUGCAACUGUUUAUUAAAAACACAGCACUGUGCAAACACGAAAGUGGACGUAUACGGUGUGACGCCUGCCCGGUGCCGGAAGGUUAAUUGAUGGGGUUAUCCGUAAGGAGAAGCUCUUGAUCGAAGCCCCGGUAAACGGCGGCCGUAACUAUAACGGUCCUAAGGUAGCGAAAUUCCUUGUCGGGUAAGUUCCGACCUGCACGAAUGGCGUAAUGAUGGCCAGGCUGUCUCCACCCGAGACUCAGUGAAAUUGAACUCGCUGUGAAGAUGCAGUGUACCCGCGGCAAGACGGAAAGACCCCGUGAACCUUUACUAUAGCUUGACACUGAACACUGGUCCUUGAUGUGUAGGAUAGGUGGGAGGCUUUGAAGUGUGGACGCCAGUCUGCAUGGAGCCAUCCUUGAAAUACCACCCUUUAAUGGCUGGUGUUCUAACGUGGACCCGUGAUCCGGGUUGCGGACAGUGUCUGGUGGGUAGUUUGACUGGGGCGGUCUCCUCCUAAAGAGUAACGGAGGAGCACGAAGGUUAGCUAAUCCUGGUCGGACAUCAGGAGGUUAGUGCAAAGGCAUAAGCUAGCUUGACUGCGAGAGUGACGGCUCGAGCAGGUGCGAAAGCAGGUCUUAGUGAUCCGGUGGUUCUGAAUGGAAGGGCCAUCGCUCAACGGAUAAAAGGUACUCCGGGGAUAACAGGCUGAUACCGCCCAAGAGUUCAUAUCGACGGCGGUGUUUGGCACCUCGAUGUCGGCUCAUCACAUCCUGGGGCUGAAGUAGGUCCCAAGGGUAUGGCUGUUCGCCAUUUAAAGUGGUACGCGAGCUGGGUUUAGAACGUCGUGAGACAGUUCGGUCCCUAUCUGCCGUGGGCGCUGGAGAAUUGAGGGGGGCUGCUCCUAGUACGAGAGGACCGGAGUGGACGCAUCACUGGUGUUCGGGUUGUCAUGCCAAUGGCAUUGCCCGGUAGCUAAAUGCGGAAGAGAUAAGUGCUGAAAGCAUCUAAGCACGAAACUUGCCCCGAGAUGAGUUCUCCCUGACUCCUUGAGAGUCCUGAAGGAACGUUGAAGACGACGACGUUGAUAGGCUGGGUGUGUAAGUGUAGCGAUACAUUGAGCUAACCAGUACUAAUGAACCGUGAGGCUUAACCUUACAACGCCGAAG
rnacentral:rRNA from 1 species